UGAGGGGUAAAUAUUAAAGACUUAGAACAAAAUAAGGGCAAAAAGUAAAAAUGACUCACAUUCAUCUUAUCAUAUAAUUUUACUGUAAUUUGAUCAAUCGAGUGUUUCUACUGUGUGUAUCUUUUCAAUUGGAAAUAAGAAAUGGAGGAUAAAAUCAGCUACGACGAUGGUCAAGAAUUUAAGCUGUUGCUCUCAUGUCCUUCUGGUUUAUCUCCUUCACAGAUGUCAGUUGUUUUUGACAAAACAUAUGAUAGGAUUCCACAUCUUGAUCCUACUCUGGAGCACUCCAUUUCCAAGAUAUGGGAUGCAAGAGUUCAGCAAAGCUCAUCACUUUUCAAUGGAACAAAGUUCAGGUAUGGUGGAUACAACUUCGAUGUAGGGAAUGAUCCCAAGCAACAGUCUCAUGUUUCCCUUCAUCUUGGUCUGACAGAUUAUAGGACAUUCGUGGGAACAAAUUUAAGCUCUAUGUGGAAGAGAUUUCUUGUUUCGUCUGAAGAUGAUUGUAUACAGUGUCAGCACACAGCAAGUCCUCUUGGUAAUGGUGCAGUUGUGGAGACUUCUGACAGAAGAAUACUUGUGCUUCAGAGAAGUAAUAAAGUUGGAGAAUUCCCUGGAUAUUUUGUUUUUCCUGGAGGCCACCCCGAGCCCCAAGAAGUCGGAAUAAUGUCCCGUGAAGGCUUGCAUGAGCUGAACCAGUGUCAGAUGAUUAACGGCAAAGUUUCUCAGGAAAUGUUUGACAGCAUUGUCCGUGAAGUUGUUGAAGAAGUUGGAGCUCCUGCAGAUACCCUUCCCCAUCUUUAUUGGUUUAUCCCGCAGAGUAUUGAAUGUUCGACCAACUGCUUUUUUCUUCAUCAAAUGCAAUCUUCCGUCAGAUGAAAUUCAACAACUAUAUUCUAGUGCACAGGAUGGGUUCGAGUCAACUCAGCUUUAUGCUGUUUCAAUGAGUGAGUUGGAGGACAUGACUUCUAAAAUGCCCGGCUGCCACAGGGGAGGCUUUGCCCUCUACAAGUUAAUGGUACAACACGCGAGUGAUAGCUAAUCUCAUCGUUUGCUGACUGAGGAUUUUAUAACCUUAACUCUUGUAUGCCUGAUUUAUACAUGUUUCUUUUGUAGUCGUUGAUGUACGAUCGCAUGCUAUGCUAUUCUAUUGGUCAAAAGAAAACUUCCCAUGGAAAUCUAUAUGAGCUAGCAUGUAGAUAUGCCGCCAUUUAGUCUUAUUGAAUUGCAGGCAAACUUGAUAUUGUCACUUGAUUUAUUCAGAAUGCUGUAUAAUCCAAUUAUUGAAUGGCUAUAGUUCAUAAAU